UACGAAGGGUGCAAACGUUGCUCGGAAUUAUUGGGCGUAAAGCGCACGUAGGCGGCUUAGCAAGUCGGAAGUGAAAUCCCACGGCUCAACCAUGGAAGUGCUUUCGAAACUGCUGAGCUUGAGUACGAAAGAGGAUCGCGGAAUUCCCGGUGUAGAGGUGAAAUUCGUAGAUAUCAGGAGGAACACCGGUGGCGAAGGCGGUUCUCUGGGCCUGUACUGACGCUGAGGAACGAAAGCGUGGGGGAGCGAACAGG
rnacentral:rRNA from 1 species